CCCCAGUAGCAUUCAAUUAAUAAGUAGUUCUAUACUUUUUGCUUAAAAGGGAACGGCGCUGAUCUCUAUGAACUCUAUGAUGUAAUUUAUUUAUCUUCCUUUAAAUCUCUUCUCCAAGUUUCUCGGGUUUCCUCAUUUAGUAACUGGGCAAAACUACCUUGUCACCAGAAAGAAAAAGCUUUGAAAAGAUUUUCUAUUAAGCAAUCGGUUGACUUUGUUUUCCAGUCAUUGUAGAGAAGUUGUCGUGGAGAAUAUCAAAACAUCAAUCCCAGUAACGUGGAGUGUCAGAAAGAUCUUCAGUAUUACACCAAGUGUAUUUCAGGAAUUGAAACAACGCAUAUUCUGGAACCAUUAUGCAGUUUUGCAUCCCCAAAGCCACAAGAAAUGUAUGCUAGAAGACGGUAUCUUGAUGAACACCAGAAAGAGCUCCUUGAUCCUGAACCACCAAUACUUCCUAAAAUUGGCUGUCGGAUAAUUCCAUAUUCUCCCCUCAGAAAUGCAAAUUAUACUUAUUCCUUUUUGCUUUCUUCUUAUUGGGCUAAUGCUGGCAAUGUCCAGAAAGCAAUCCACAUAAGAAAGGGGAGUAUAGGACAAUGGAAGCGGUGUGAUUUUGGAUUACCUUACACAGCUGAUCUUCCGAGCAGUUUUCUGUAUCAUGUAAACCUUAGUACCAGAGGUUAUCGUGCUUUAGUUUACAGCGGUGACCAUGACAUGCUGGUGCCUUUCUUGGGAACUGAAGCAUGGAUAAAAUCUCUCAACUAUCCCAUUGUUGAUGAUUGGCGGCCAUGGAUGGUGCAAGACCAAGUUGCAGGAUACACGAGGACCUACUCCAAUCAAAUGACAUAUGCCACUAUUAAGAGAGGAGGGCACACAGCUCCCGAGUACAAGCCCGCAGAAUGUUUUGCUAUGUUUAAAAGGUGGAUAUCUCGAGAGCCUUUGUAACAGAGUCAGCUCAUCAUGCUUCCAAAUUCAAAGCACUGAUGUGAACUAUGUUUUACCAUCUGAUGUGAACAAUGUUUUACCAUGCAUACUUCUCUGUCAUCUCUUCUCUUUACUUCUGCUAUCUGAUAAACUUACACAAUCCUCCACUUGAGAGCUUCUGAAUGGCAAGGUCAGAUAAAAUUGCAGUUCUCUUUUUCUUCUUUCUU